GACGAACGCUGGCGGCGUGCCUAAUACAUGCAAGUCGAACGCAGUGGGGACGGGUGAGUAACACGUGGGUAACCUCCCAUCAGAGGGGAUAAAACUUGGAAACAGGUGCUAAACCGAUACCGCAGGAUGGACCCGCGGUGCAUUAGCUAGUUGGUGAGGUAACGGCUCACCAAGGUCACGAUGCAUAGCCGAUCUGAGAGGAGGAUCGGACACACUGGGACUGAGACACGGCCCAGACUCCUACGGGAGGCAGCAGUGGGGAAUCUUCGGCAAUGGACGAAAGCCUGAUCGAGCAACGCCGCGUGAGUGAAGAAGGUUUUCGGAUCGUAAAACACUGUUGUUAGAGAAGCGGUAUCUGACCAGAAAGCCACGGCUAACUACGUGCCAGCAGCCGCGGUAAUUC
rnacentral:rRNA from 1 species